rnacentral:rRNA from 1 species
GACGAACGCUGGCGGCGUGCCUAAUACAUGCAAGUCGAGCGAAGUUUUUCUGGUGCUUGCACCGGAAAAACUUAGCGGCGAACGGGUGAGUAACACGUAAAGAACCUGCCUCAUAGACUGGGACAACUAUUGGAAACGAUAGCUAAUACCGGAUAACAGCAUUAACUGCAUGGUUGAUGUUUGAAAGUUGGUUUUGCUAACACUAUGAGAUGGCUUUGCGGUGCAUUAGCUAGUUGGUGGGGUAAAGGCCUACCAAAGCGACGAUGCAUAGCCGACCUGAGAGGGUGAUCGGCCACACUGGGACUGAGACACGGCCCAGACUCCUACGGGAGGCAGCAGUAGGGAAUCUUCCGCAAUGGGCGGAAGCCUGACGGAGCAACGCCGCGUGAGUGAAGAAGGAUUUCGGUUCGUAAAACUCUGUUGUUAGGGAAGAAUGAUUGUGUAGUAACUAUACACAGUAG